rnacentral:lncRNA from 1 species
AGGACAAUGGAAAGGUCCUGAUCCAGUGAUUGUCUGGAGUCAGGGAUCUGUUUGUGUGUUUCCACAGGGAAAACAGCAGCUGAUUUGGAUUCCAGAGAGAUUAACUAAAGCAAUUUCUACAGACCAAAAAAAAGAUGACUUGGCUCAAAUCCAUAAGAGCUGAUAUCCUUACAUCUGUGACAGUGGUUCUCCCACACCUGGAGUCUAAUGAAUAAUGAACACCAUUAAAGCCUAUUUCAAAUGUAAAAAACCUUGGGGCUUGCUUGUGGGAAUACCUUCAGACCCAUAUGCAAGUUACAGGAAGAAGGAUGAGAUAUCAAAAGAAGAGUCAAACCCAGGUGGUAACCAGGAUGCUUUUUUCAAUAUCUAUUUUAUUAUUGCCUUUUCCAACAUCAUGAAGUUCUAUUUUAUUUUUUGAGCUCAUACAGAUCUAGGUUAAUGUUUUUCUGUUCAGUUCUAAUUUUGACUCCGGAGAUUUUAAACAUUGCAAUGGAGAUUUCACCUGUGAAAAGCUAUAAGGCCUUUACUAUUAUGUUAUGUAUUGUAUGUAUUGUAUUAUGUGUGCACACUUGUGUUUUGUGUUGUAUGUCUGUAUGUGCAUAUGUCCAUAUAUCAUAUAUGAGGAGCGCUCAUGAAAAAAUGGAUCCAAAUAUUUUUUUUUUAUUCACGUGAUUUAAAUGGUUUAAUUUAAAUUGGAUAAACAGCUGUUGAGGAUUGUUUUUAAAGGUGGUUAACAGAUCUGUUUGCUUACUUUCACCUUUCCUUUUCAUUAUAUUUAAUAAUUCUGCUCAGGAUAAUGUAAAUUGUUCAGAAAAUUGUUUUCUUAGUGCCUGCUGGAAUGUUACAUAAUUUUUUUAGCCAUCAUUGCCAGAAUUCCUAUCUUCAUCCUAGUGCCGGUGAAGACAAAGAUAAAACCAAACUACAGCUUCUUCGAUAGCUAUCACAGUAAACUGUAUAAACUGAUGCAUCAAUGAAUAAUAACUCAACAAGUGAUGCUCAAUCAAGGAGUCAAUUUACUUUGGGAGGAAAUGGACAUAUUAAUGGAUUCCUCUGCUUUGAACUGCUUGCAGAACUUGCCUGGACUAUGAAUCCCUUGUAUGCAUUGUGAACUAUCUGUUGGUGCAGCAAAUUGUGGAGUGCUGGGGUAUCUUUGCUGAUGGUGUCAUCGGUGGUCCAAUUUUUCCAAAAAGAACCAUCAUUUGGCUUGGUGUCAUGGCAAUUUGCAUCCUCCUCCCUUCUGCUUGUGAUGGUCUAAAAUUUGGGGGCCAACAGAGGUGAGACAAAGAUCCUCACACCCCCACACUGGCACCAAGGCCAAAUUUGGGGGCCAACAGAAUGAGGCAAAGAACCUCACCCCCCACUGGCACCAAGGCCAAAUUUGGGGGCCAACAGAGGUGAGGCAAAUAACCUCACCCCCCCCCACUGACAC